rnacentral:rRNA from 1 species
CACGUAGGGCGCAAGCGUUGUCCGGAAUUAUUGGGCGUAAAGAGCUCGUAGGCGGACUGUUGCGUCCGCUGUGAAAAGCUGGGGCUUAACCCUGGCCUUGCAGUGGAUACGGGCAGACUAGAGGUAGGUAGGGGAGAAUGGAAUUCCCGGUGGAGCGGUGAAAUGCGUAGAUAUCGUAAGGAAGACCAGUGGCGAAGGCGGGUCUCUGGACAGUUCCUGACGCUGAGGCACGAAGGCCAGGGGAGCAAACGGG